rnacentral:rRNA from 1 species
UACGUAGGUGGCAAGCGUUGUCCGGAUUUACUGGGCGUAAAGAGCGCGCAGGCGGUCGUACAAGUCGCGUGUGAAAGCCCCCGGCUCAACUGGGGAGGGUCACGCGAUACUGUUCGACUCGAAGGCAGGAGAGGGAAGCGGAAUUCCCGGUGUAGUGGUGAAAUGCGUAGAUAUCGGGAGGAACACCAGUGGCGAAGGCGGCUUCCUGGCCUGUUCUUGACGCUGAGGCGCGAAAGCUAGGGUAGCAAACGGG